AAAUAACUAUGAGUUUACUUGAUAAAAAUCACUCAAAUUAGCACAAGAUAAACCAUAAAAUAGUGGUCUAUCAAUCUCCUCACACAUAAACAUUAGCGUGUCCUCAUGCUAAGCUCAAGGAGACAAAAGGAAUGAAUGGGGGAAAAGUAAGACUCAUGAGAUGCAACCUAUGUAUGUGAAUGCAACUAUAU